GACGAACGCUGGCGGCGUGCUUAACACAUGCAAGUCGAACGAAGUGGCGAACGGGUGAGUAACGAGUAAUCAACCUGCCCUUCAGAGGGGGACAACAGUGGGAAACGACUGCUAAUACCGCAUACUGAAGGAGGGGAUUGCGUCUGAUUAGCUAGUUGGAGGGGUAACGUCCCACCAAGGCGAUGAUCAGUAGCCGGUGUGAGAGGAUGAACGGCCACAUUGGGACUGAGACACGGCCCAGACUCCGACGGGAGGCAGCAGUGGGGAAGCUGCCGCAAUGGACGAAAGUCUGACGGAGCAACGCCGCGUGAGUGAUGACGGCCUUCGGGGUGUAAAGCUCUGUUAAUCGGGACGCGGUACCGGAAGAGAAAGCCACGGCUAACUACGUGCCAGCAGCCGCGGUAAUUC
rnacentral:rRNA from 1 species